ACAGAUGCCGGUGAAGCAACAGACCCAGCAAGGACGAUGGGAAACUGACCAGAUAAGUCCUGAAGUCCCCAUCAACACCGUCACUGUCACCUUGACGAGUUCCACUUAGGAGCAGCCAGAGCAGCCCCUGUCAGCAUCAGGAAAAGCCCAGUGCGGAAAUGCAUCUUAAAUAAAAUGCGGAAGUUUAAAGAUUAUGAAGACCCAGCUUGCUGGACUCACUCUGACUGGUCCAUUCAUGGAAACCUUGGGCUCUGCACUUCAUGGGUUCAAGGACACCACUUCUCCAUGGAACAGGAAGCUAGGACCCAAGCCCAGCCUCCUUCCAGAAGCGAAGGUGCAGAACCGAACCUAGGAGGUUUCAGGUCACUCUUAGAGUAAGAAAAUGCAGGUUGACCCUCCUCUGCUAUAUUGCUUGUAGGGCUGGACCUCAGAUGAGGGCUGCUUGACCUGGGAGAAAUGGUCUCAGUUCUCCAGGGGAGCUUUUUCCGCAGGAAGUUGAAUAAAUGUUCAUGGUCCACUGUGGGCCUCCAUUUCCUUACCCACCAGAUGAAGGCAGAGUCGGGGUCUGGAGGCCAAGGGCCCACUUUGUUCUAAUGUUUCCAAGCAUCCCUGGGACUCCUGAGAGGGCUCUUAUGCUGGGGAGAAGGCUGUAGACACCUGGGGGGACGUGCUGGCUUCAUGCAGCAUGCCCUAUCUUUAUCUGACCCCCUCCUGAGAAAGAGGAACUUGUGGUCUGUCUUUGGCUGAACCAGCCAGAACAGGAACCAGGGCUACCUUGAGCACAAGCCAAGAUGAACCCAGUCCUUGGCUUCAAGUUUCUGUUUUUCAGAUUGGGUUUCAGAAUGGAACACCCUCGGGGGCAGCUUAGUAACCUGGAGUCUUCGUACUCUUUCCAGCUGCCCACCUUCCCUUUUAAAAGGGGCUCCUCAGCUCUGGGCCUCUGCCCAGCCAGCCUGACAGAGAUGAUCCAGCCUUGGUAAGGGCAAAGUCACUUAGGGGAUAGGGCUGAGAUGCACCAUCACCCACCUUCAUCCCCUGUCAACUGUGACUGCGCAUCGGAAAAAGUGUUUAUUGUUGUUGUUAUUUGAGAAGGAAGCUGAGGUUUUGAGAGGUUAAGUGACUUGCCUGAGGUCACACAGGGAGCCAGCUGGCUGCUGUACACAAUGAGAUUUGUGGCCCAUCAACACAAUUGUCACAGCAAUUCCCAUGCCCUGCCAUUCAUGCCCAAACACACUUGACCUUGGCUGGGGGUGGUGGGGAGCAAAAGCAAUUUUAUGGCUUAUAUAGGUCUCUUCCAAAUGCAUUUUAAGAUCAGUCACCACUCUGCUUCAUCAUCUCUCUAGCUCCCACCUCCUACAAAGAAGGUGUCUUCUAGAUCUGCACCGUCUGAUAACGUAGUCACUGGCCACGUGUGGCUGGGGAGCGCUUGAAAUGUGGUGGGUCUGAAUCAAGAUGCGCUGAGAGUGUAAAAUACACACUGGAUUUCAAAGACUUGUUGGACAAAAAGAAAUGGUAACAAUCUCAUUCAUAAUUUUAUAUUGAUGGAAAUACAAAUAUAUUGGUGGAAAUGGUGAUAUUUCAGAUGUGAAAUAUCAAUGAAAAUUAAUUUCACCUGUUUCUCUUUACUUUUUAAUUGUAACUACUGGAACCUUUAAAAUUGUAUCCAUGCAUUGCAGUUGUGGCUGGUGUCAUAUUUGCAUGGCGCUACUUUAGAAAGUCCUGUGACUGAGAGGAUGAAGUGGUGCUGA